rnacentral:tRNA from 1 species
GGAAGGGUGCCUGAGUGGUUGAAAGGGCUCCCCUGCUAAGGGAGUGAACCCUUUUUGGGUUCCGUGGGUUCGAAUCCCAUCCCUUCCGCCA